rnacentral:lncRNA from 1 species
AUAACCUAACUACUAUGCUUCCUGGCUUAGCGCUUGCUGGGACUUUCCACAGAAGACUAUCAUUCCCUGAACUCAGCGAUGGAAAAUCAAUUGUGUGACCCAUUUCACCAAGCCAUGGCCUCACACAGCUUUGUUUCUGUCCCAUUUGACUGAGCCAUGCUUAUGCUGGAUUGCAAAGGUGGAACACACUCCCUGGUUCCUCAGAAUAGCCACUCCUCUUUGCUCCAACAACAUUGGCUCUUUUGCUGCUGGACUAGCCCAGCAGAUGUGUCGAUGAGAAGUUAUGUGUCUGCUACCCAUGGGAAAAGGACAUCUCCACAUUUCUAAAAAAAUAGCAGUUUUCAGCUUUCUCCUC